AUAGGCUCAACGGAUGACCCAAAGCCCAAACGCAAACAACACCUUGAGAGGAGAAUUCAGUUCACACAUUAAGAUUCAUCCGAAAACUCACGUGUUCAAAUUAAAGCUUCAUCUUCCCUCCUUAUUGGAGAACAUUCCUCCGUCGCGUCAGAAUUCGCCACCGGCGGCAGCGGAGACCUAAACUACUAAAUUUCCACCCCAAAUCCUUCGUCUACACAACCUUAACCUAAAUCUGCCAUUAAAUUUCACAAUUCCUGAUUAUACAUCCAAACUGGAGUGGUGCUGUACAUGAACCCUAAAUACAAAUGGUAAAAUUAAACUCUAAAACGAUGGAAUCAAAACCCAAUAGGUUGGGGUUUUGAUUCCCCAAGCUUCGAGCUACAUCUUGUAUCCGAUUCAAAGUGAAACAAGGAAGAAAUCGACUUAUCUAUGGAGAAGACGAAGACGACGACGAACUUCCAGUUAAAGUUGAAAGAAAAUUGGCUUAUGGACCCUGUUAUGAAGAAUGGAGUUAAUGGUUGGUGAAAUGAAUAUAAGUGGGACGUGCAGGUUAAAAUGCAUUUGGUUAUUGAUCAGAUUUGCUAUGUUAUGCAUGAAUUGAAUUGUUUUUGCCAUGUUGAAAUGAUACAGGUGCACCGUUGUAAUAGAGUUUCACUUGUGUGUUCAGAAAGAAGGGAUCUGCAUUUGGCCUAGUGUAUUGCAUUGAAUGAAUUUUGAAGGUGGGUCCAUAAAGAAUGAAGGAGCUUGGUUUUGUAUGUUUGUGUUGGUGUGCAACGGGUCUGUCAUGGAAGGCUAGGACGCUUGGAUGAUUUUUAUAGGUUUUACGUAUGGUUAUGUAUUGUAUUGGGAUUUUGACUUGUGUGGUGUAUCGUACAUGGAAUUGAAUAUGUUUAGUUUAAUGGUUAAUGUAAUUGGAUUGUGGAAUUGUCUUGGCAUUUGAAAUGUAAAUUUUGAAUAGUUUGAAUUGGGAUGUACUUUUACAUGGCUGGAAUGAGAUUUUUGGGUUCAAGUAUUGUAUCGUGAUGUGGUUUGGAAUGUAUGGAUUUAGUUUAAUGGAAAUUGAAUGGUAUGUAAUUGGAAUUGAAUGAUUUAUUUGUACAUAAAGAUGGAAAGUUUGAAUGGUU